rnacentral:rRNA from 1 species
UACGAAGGGUGCAAACGUUGCUCGGAAUCAUUGGGCGUAAAGCGCACGUAGGCGGCUUCAAAAGUCGGAUGUGAAAUCCCACGGCUCAACCGUGGACGUGCAUCCGAAACUGGGAGGCUUGAGUACUGAAGAGGAUCGCGGAAUUCCCGGUGUAGAGGUGAAAUUCGUAGAUAUCGGGAGGAACACCAGUGGCGAAGGCGGCGACCUGGGCCAAUACUGACACUGAGGUGCGAAAGCGUGGGGAGCAAACAGG